CCUACGGGGGACAGCAGUGAGGAAUAUUGGUCAAUGGGCGCAAGCCUGAACCAGCCAAGUAGCGUGAAGGAUGACUGCCCUACGGGUUGUAAACUUCUUUUAUAAAGGAAUAAAGUGCGGCACGUGUGCCUUUUUGUAUGUACUUUAUGAAUAAGGAUCGGCUAACUCCGUGCCAGCAGCCGCGGUAAUACGGAGGGUCCGAGCGUUAUCCGGAUUUAUUGGGUUUAAAGGGAGCGUAGAUGGGUUGUUAAGUCAGUUGUGAAAGUUUGCGGCUCAACCGUAAAAUUGCAAUUGAAACUGGCAGCCUUGAGUACAGGUGAGGUAGGCGGAAUUCGUGGUGUAGCGGUGAAAUGCUUAGAUAUCACGAAGAACUCCGAUUGCGAAGGCAGCCUACUAAACUGCAACUGACACUGAUGCUCGAAAGUGUGGGUAUCAAACAGGAUUAGAUACCCGGGUAGUC
rnacentral:rRNA from 1 species